rnacentral:rRNA from 1 species
AAGGAAUUUGCGCAAUGGGCGAAAGCCUGACGCAGCGACGCCGCGUGGGGGAUGAAGGCUUCGGGUAGUAAACCCCUUUUCUCAGGGAAGAAUAAUGACGGUACCUGAGGAAUAAGUCUCGGCUAACUACGUGCCAGCAGCCGCGGUAAUACGUAGGAGGCAAGCGUUAUCCGGAUUUACUGGGCGUAAAGAGGGCGUAGGCGGUUUUUCAAGUUGGAUGUGAAAUCUCCCGGCUCAACUGGGAGGUGUCAUCCGAAUACUGUUGGGCUAGAGGGCAGUAGAGGGAGGUGGAAUUCCCGGUGUAGUGGUGAWAUGCGUAGAUAUCGGGAGGAACACCAGUGGCGAAGGCGGCCUCCUGGGCUGUUCCUGACGCUGAGGCCCGAAAGCGUGGGGAGCRAACAGGAUUAGAUACCCUGGUAGUCCACGCUGUAAACGAUGGAUACUAGGUAUGGG